CGCGUAGGUGGCUCGUUAAGUGGUCGGUGAAAUCCCGGGGCUCAACUCCGGGGCUGCCGGUCAGACUGGCGGGCUAGAGCACGGUAGGGGCAGAUGGAAUUCCCGGUGUAGCGGUGGAAUGCGUAGAUAUCGGGAAGAACACCAGUGGCGAAGGCGUUCUGCUGGGCCGUUGCUGACACUGAGGCGCGACAGCGUGGGAGCAAACA
rnacentral:rRNA from 1 species